rnacentral:rRNA from 2 species
CUCGGUGUCUUGAGCGGAGUGGCAACACCUGUUCCCAUCCCGAACACAGAAGUUAAGCACUCCAGCGCUGAUGGUAGCUCCGAUUUCGGUCGGAGUGAGAGUAGGCCGAUGCCGAGA